UUGAGUCUAUUUCUGUGCUGUUUCUGAAUAGUUUGGAUUUUCUUGUUCAAAUGUAACUUGCAACCUUGCCUUUCCCAUCAGAAGCUGCUAUACCUGCAGUCCUACAAAGGACCUGACAGUGGCAGGAGAGGGAGCAGCCUGCCUACUUUUGGAUCCACCCCUAAAGAACUGGUAAGGAAACAAAGGAGAGGGAAUAAUGAAGAUUGGCAGUUCUGGGGCACCUCCCACUUCCUCCUGUCAUGCAUCAUGCAGUAAGGCAAAGACCUACUAUUGUGAGCACACCAUGGGACCAAAGAUACUUCUUUAAUUAGUCUAACUGAAGGAAAAAUAUGAUGAUGAUGGAACUGGUGAUUGAAAUUAUGUCAGAGAAGCAUGAAGAGCAAGAUGGAAAAGAACUGCUGGUGUUGAAGUCGCCUUGCAAUUCUAGUGAGUAUAAUCAUUAAAGCUCCUCUUGAAGUUGAAAGCUUUGUUAAACCAAAUGUGAAGAGUUAUUAGGAAUUACUUUAAAAGUGCUACUUGAAGGCAACAAGCCAGCAUCUGACCAAAAUAAGGUUUCACCUGGUACAUUGCUGAUGCCCAUUCUUCAAAACAGAAAGCAUUCCUGCCUUCAGUGGGUCUGUUUUUCUAGCAGGCAAAACAAUUAUUUUUGGAUGCUAUGUUCACACAAGUCAACUCUGGCUGAGCUCCACUUAAGCUUUUGAGUCAGGAGACUGAGCACCUCAAAUUUAGAUGGGAAUGCUCUUAUCUGGCAAGGCCAAGUGAAUUAAACCUUGGACUAACCACUUAAAAGACUAUUUCUUUGCCAGCUCAUCUAUAUAAA